rnacentral:rRNA from 1 species
AUUGAACGCUGGCGGCAUGCCUAACACAUGCAAGUCGAACGAGACCUUCGGGUCUAGUGGCGCACGGGUGUGUAACGCGUGGGAAUCUGCCCUCAGGUACGGAAUAACUCAGGGAAACUUGAGCUAAUACCGUAUAAUGACUUCGGUCCAAAGGUUUAUCGCCUGAGGAUGAGCCCGCGUCGGAUUAGCUUGUUGGUGAGGUAAAAGCUCACCAAGGGGACGAUCCGUAGCUGGUCUGAGAGGAUGAUCAGCCACACUGGGACUGAGACACGCCCCAGACUCCUACGGGAGGCAGCAGUGGGGAACAUUGGACAAUGGGCGAAAGCCUGAUCCAGCAAUGCCGCGUGAGUGAUGAAGGCCUUAGGGUUGUAAAGCUCUUUUACCCGGGAUGAUAAUGACAGUACCGGGAGAAUAAGCCCCGGCUAACCCCGUGCCAGCCGCCGCAGUAAUAC